ACCAUUUAAAAAAAAAGUCAAAGCCGUAGUCACCAACUACAGCUUUAAACUUAAAGUUAAAACCGUGGUUGGUAACUACGGUUUCUAAGCACUUUAGAAAAAUAAAACCGUAGUCACCAAAUACGGUUUUAUGACAUAGCAGCUUAUGUGGUACAGACACAUUAGAUCGGACAUUAUUUUAAAAACAAUUUUAUUUUUUGGAAUUUUUUUUUAAAACGCACUAUUUUGGGUCAAAUCUCUGAGUCCGGGUUCUGUUUGCUUGGAGAGAAAGUGAGUUGGAGAAACAUCUGGGCAUGCCGUGGUACAUUUCCAAAUCUACCUAUCUUCUUCUGAUUUAUCGAUUGUUUUCUGCGCCAAUGCUUUUCUGCAACUGAUGCUACAAAUUGGGGCUGAUCGAGUUUCGGAGCUCUACGAUCUUCAGAAUUGGUGAGAGACGCGAACAUCAUCUAGGAAUGACUACUACUUUCCUCAGUAAAAGAGUAGUGUCACUCAAAAAUGUGGGGCAAAUGUUUGAAAUUUCAAGGGCCCAAGUGCAUUUUCUUCAAAAUACUAAACCUUUUAGGUUUAGAUCUUUCUCUUCGCCCAAACAACACUCUUUUACAGUGUCGUACCUCAUGAACUCAUGUGGGUUGUCCACAGAAAGUGCUCUAUCUGCAUCACGGAAGGUACAGUUUGAAACCCCAGACAGAGCAGACUCCGUCCUCGCACUCCUUAGGAAUUAUGGAUGCACCAAUACCCAUAUCUCCAAAAUUGUAAGCAGGUAUCCGCUCCUGCUCACUGCCAAUCCUGAGAAGACCCUUCUGCCCAAACUGGAGUUUUUCCGUUCUGUAGGCUUUUCAGGGCCUGACCUUGCCAGUAUCGUCGUUUCAAGCCCAAUUAUCUUGAGAAGGAGCUUGGAAAAUCAUGUUAUUCCUAGUUAUAAUUUUCUUAAGAGUGUAGUUAUGGUCAAUGAAAAUAUUGUGAGGGCUUUCAAGAAGACAUUCUGGAUUUCGGGUCAAAAUGUGCAAAACGCCAUCGCCCCAAAUAUUGCAAUUCUGGAGGAAAUUGGAGUUCCCAUGUCAAAUAUGAAGUUUUUGGUGACAUGUCACCCUAAUGUAGUGUCCCAAAACAGGGAAAAGUUUAGUAGAAGUGUCAAGAAGGUUAUUGAAAUGGGAUUCAAUCCUUUGAGACUUAGCUUUCUGAAAGCAAUCGAAGUCAGCUGUCAAUUGACUGAAUCAAUGUUGGAGCAUAAAAUGGAGGUUUAUAGGCGGUGGGGUCUGACAGAUGAUGAGAUUAUGUCGAUGUUCAGAUUGGAUCCCUUAUGUAUGAAGUCAUCAGAGAAGAAAAUAAUGAGUGUGAUGGAUUUUCUGGUUAAUAAGAUGGGUUGGGAACCUGCUGCUUUUGCUAGAUAUCCAACAGUCUUUUUGUGCAGUUUGGAGAAGAAGUGGUGAAAAUUCUUCAAAUGAAGGGGUUGGUGAAGAAGGAUCUGUGUUUCGGUUUUUUAUACUCCAAUGACAAGAAUUUUUCUGAUAAGUUUGUGCUCAAAUAUGAGCAAGAUGGUCCUGAGCUUUUGAAUGUAUAUCAAGGAAAAAUUGGUAUUUUGGAACUUGGCUUUGUAUCUGAGGGGGUAAAGGAGAAGAAACAGUUGUAGCAUCUCAACUUCACAGUUCCAAAUAAUUAUCCUUUUUGUCAUUUUUCCCAUUCGAAACUUGGUUUGCAGGCAUGUUAACUUCUCUUUGCACUGUUGACAAUAUAAUUGCUUCAACCAGCUUCAGCUGGGGGUUAACUUCGAUUGCUUUUUUUGCCUUUUUUAAGACGAGUCAUAUAGGAUACCUUAAAGUUCAUGCAGAUAUAUGUAUUCUGGGGUGAAAGCUGAAACAAAUGUGUAGACAAUAAGAACUGAUUGUUUUGUAUGGAUGGUCUUUUCAAGAUCAAAUCUCCAUAAUUUGAUUUGUGGAGUGCUUCAGUUUAUCUACAAACCUUUUUUCAGACAUGGGAGGUUGCAAGCUGCAUCAAGACUUACAGAUCAAAAUAGGGUCUAAAGGGCAUGCUUUAUUUUUGGGCAAGCAAUAUUUGGAGUAUUAUAAAUUACUGAAGUAUUAUGAACUUGGCAUCAUUUUCUCCCUUUCAUUAUAUUUGCAGCGAAAUAGUCACCUGAUUUUCUGCAUAACUGGACUGAAGUUGAGUUCCUGUUGAGGGUUGUAGGGGCAUAGCUUUUAGCCUUUUUUUAAAUAAAAGGACAGCUCCAGAGCAUGUGAAAUAUCAAAUAUCCCAACUUUCUAUCUAAUCUCAUUUUCACAUUUUAAAAAAGUUUAAAUGAAAAUUAAUAAAUAAAUAAAUUGAAAAACCCUAAUAAAAAUCGAUGGCAAAAAACCUAAAUCAAAAUCCCCCCAAUGGGAGGGAAAUGAGUUGGAAAAAGAGAAAAAUUAAAUUUUUAGGAAAAUAAAAGAAAAAUAAUAAUGUCUUAAAUGGUCAUUUUCUUAAAGAACCAACAAGGAGGUCAUUCUUAUUUCCUGGAAGUAUUUUAAAUCUUUUGACCAAAUAUCUCUUUCUUUUUUCAGUGUAGAUUGCAAUCUUUGCACGAAGAGAGAUGAGUCCGGGUUCUGUUUGCUUGGAGGGAAAGUGAGUUGGAGAAACAUCUUUAGGCAUGCCGUGGUACAUUUCCAAAUCUACCUAUCUUCUGAUUUAUCGAUUGUUUUCUGCGCCAUUGCUUUUCUGCAACUGAUGCUACAAAUUGGGGCUGAUUGAGUUUCGGAGCUCUACGAUCUUCAGAAUUGGUGAGAGACGCGAACAUCAUCUAGGAAUGGCUACUAGUUUCCUCUGUAAAAGAGUAGUGUCACUAAAAAAUGUGGGGCAAAUGUUUGAAAUUUCAAGGGCCCAAGUGCAUUUUCUUCAAAAUACUAAACCUUUUAGGUUUAGAUCUUUCUCUUCGCCCAAACAACACUCUUUUACAGUGUCGUACCUCAUGAACUCAUGUGGGUUGUCCCCAGAAACUGCUCUAUCUGCGUCACGGAAGGUACAGUUUGAAACUCCAGAAAGAGCAGACUCCGUCCUCGCACUCCUUAGGAAUUAUGGAUGCACCAAUACCCAUAUCUCCAAAAUUGUAAGCAGGUAUCCGCUCCUGCUCACUGCCAAUCCUGAGAAGACCCUUUUGCCCAAACUAGAGUUUUUCCGUUCCGUAGGCUUUUCAGGGCCUGACCUUGCCAGUAUUGUCGCUGCUAGCCCACAGAUCUUGAGAAGGAGCUUGGAAAAUCAUGUUAUUCCUAGUUAUAAUUUCCUCAAGAGCGUAGUUAUGGUCAAUGAAAAUAUUGUGAGGGCUCUCAAUAAGUCAUACUGGCUUAAUGGUCAAAGCUUGCCAAACAUAAUCGUUCCAAAUAUUGAAAUUCUGAAAGACAUUGGAGUUCCCAUGUCAAAUAUUUCGUUUUUGGUGACAUGUCACCCUAGUGCAGUGUCUCAAAACAAUGUGAAGUUUGCUAGAAGUGUCAAGAUGGUUAUUGAAAUGGGAUUUGAUCCUUUGAGAGUUAAGUUUCUGAAAGCAGUUCAAGUGAUCGUUGAAAUGGCUGAAUCAAUGUGGGAGCAUAAAAUGGAGGUUUACAGGCGGUGGGGUUUGACAGAUGAUCAGAUUAUGUUGAUGUUCAGAUUGGAUCCCUUAUGUAUGAAGUCAUCGGAGAAGAAAAUAAUGAGUGUGAUGGAUUUUUUGGUUAAUAAGAUGGGUUGGGAACCUGCAGCUAUUGGUAGAUAUCCAACAGUCUUUUUGCGCAGUCUUGAGAAGAAGAUCAUUCCAUGGUGUUCAGUGGUGAAAGUUCUUCAAAUGAAGGGGUUGGUGAAGAAGGAUCUGUGUGUGAGUUUUUUAGGCUCUGGUGAGAAGAAUUUCUUCAAUAGGUUUGUGGUGAAAUAUGAGCAAGAUGUUCCUGAGCUUUUAAAUGUAUAUCAAGGAAAAAUUGGUAUUUUGGAACUUGGCCUCAUACCUGAGAGGAUAUGGGAGAAGAAACAAUUGUAGCACCUCAACUUUAUAAUUCGAAGUAAAUAUGCCUUUUGUCAUUUUUCCUAUUUGAAACUUGGUUUGCAGGCAUGUUAACUUCUCUUUGCUCUGUUUUUAAGUUGAUAAUAUAAACACCCAUAUCUCUGAACUCAACUAUUUACUGAUAUUGACUGAUUUGUAAUGUUUCUGUUAGUGUUACUGGAAUUUUAUCAGUAUGAUGCAACAAGCAAGUUUCUACAAUGAUGUGGUUCUACUUUCCUAAUCUUCGUGUUAUGUUUUUAAUUGACAUUAUUGUGAAUGUGGCAAUGAGCUAAUUAUCCUCUUUUGUUGCAUAAAACAGGUUGUUUAUAGUUAGAGGUAUUUUAUGGGAUGAAUACCUCAGGUAGUUUCUACAAUGAUGCUUUCUAAUUAUCAUCAUUGUUGCACUUUACUCAGGAUUUUUCUUAGAAUUGCAUUACUUUGUUUCUAGGUAAUUGGGAGGUGGAGGUGGUUGAAAGAUGAGGUUCCGUUUAGAAAGCAUCCUUCACAUGCGAGUUAUUAAAUAAGAACAUUGUCACUGGGAUGGUUUUGGGGAAAAAAAAAAUGGUUGGUAAGCAACUGGCAUUUCUGGAGUUUCAAUGGUUCUAUUUCAGCAAUAGGAUGGCCUUGAGUUGCUCGAUUAUUAAAGUUCUGCUGUGGAAGGGCUUUGUAAUGAAAACUUCUUGCUUAACUGCUAUACUAAUACCUGCUAAGAAUUAAUUCUUGCUCAGUUUGUGUUCAAAUAUUAGGAGCAUAUUCAAGUGAUUGUUGAGUCGAUGUCUGUCACGGGAUAAUAGGUUUCUGGAUGGAAACAAAACAAGUGAUUCAAGGUCCUCUAUGUAUAAUUGGAGGAUUCUAUGGGGAUAUCAUCCCUUCAUCAUAGCUCGUAUCUUCUCCUGAUUUGGAGCCUGUGUUUAUCCAAUGCCCCUUGUUCAGUUCCUUCUCACAUGGAAACUGCUGCAACACCUUGGAUCUUCCCUGAUGGUUCUUCCAAAGCAGAAUUCACGGAAUGCAACAUGUUGGGCCUUCUACAGUGUGACCCCGGGAACCAGGAAAGUUCUCAUUGCCACAGAAUAAUGCUUUAGGAUGGAUCGACGUUUCUGUUUGAUGAGGAAUAUGAGGCACCUAACACCCAUAGGCAGAUGUUCAUCCUUUUCUAAUCGGAGAUAGUCUGCAAAUGUAUUUCUACAGAGGCAGGCAAAGCCCUUUGAACCCCAAGUUCUUACUUUGCCUGGAGGCCUUAAAAUAAGAGCGGUGUUGGGGUCUCUUGCUUAAAGUGGUUCUUCCUCAAGCAUUAUUAUAAUACCAUAACUGUUGGGUCCUGGAACUCUUUUGCUUUGCUUGUUUGUUUCAGUUCUUCUGUUCUUUUGAUGCCUGGUUCCUUUGGAAUCAAAUGGAGUCAUUCCUUUCCUUGGAUUCAAUGGUUCACUUGAAAUUUUAGAGCAAAGAAUGCAUGGUUCCACACAUUUUUGUAGGAAAAUCAUUCCCCUAAAUUUUUUACACUUACAUGUUGGUAUCUUCUCAUAAGAGAACAUAUUGCAUAUUUCAAUAUAGUAUCUAUGCCCUAAAAAAAAGUUCAUAUUACUUGUAUUAUAUUCAACUCUUUCUAAUUUAUAAAAAAUAUUAAGUUUUAGAAAAUUAAACUAUUAUAAAUUUUAUUUCGCUUCAAAUUUUUAUUUUAUGAUUGGAUGUAUUAAAAAAAUUAAAGGUAAGUUAUUCAAUUUAAAAGUAAAAAUAAAUCUAGCAAAUUGAAAAAUAAAACAUAGAAUUAUCCGUUUAACUAAACUUUAAAAGAAAAAAUAAUAAUAUUUUAAAUUUGCUUUUUAGAAAUAAAAAUAUUUUAUCAUAACUCUUAAAUAUUUUUUUAUACAUAAAAUACCCAAAAUACCCUCACCAUGCUCAUAUUCAAAACCCUAAUUCUAUUUCUUUAUUUUUCCUUCAAAAUCUUAUUUUAUUUUGUAUUUUUAUUUAAAUUAGGGUACAGAAAACACUUUUCCCCUUCUUUUUUCACUAGAAAGUGCAACAUUUGCUGGAGAGAUGAGGUUUUCUGGGCCCUGUUUGUUUAGGUAAAAAAUGGUUCGAGGAAACAUCUUUUGGCAUGGUGGUACAUUUCCAAAUCUAUCUAGCUGCUUCUGAUUUGUCCAUUGUUCGCUGCCUUGGUCAUUGCUUUUCUGCAACGGGUGCUGGAAAUGAGGGCCGAGCGAGUUUCGGAGCUUUACGAUCUUCAAAAUUGGGGAUAAUAGGUAUCUGGAUGGAAAGAACAGAAGUAAUUCAAGGUUCUCUAUAAGCUAAGAAAGGUACUGUAAGAUCAAAGGUUCUAUGGGGGCAUCAUCCUCCCAUCAUUGCUUUUACCUCGAAUUGGGUACCAAGUACUUGAUUGAUUAUUGUUGUGAUUCCCUUUAUUUUUAUUUUGCAAGGCAUUGCCUCAUUGGUUUUGCCUUGUCGUAACAUUUUCUUUUCAAGCCUGAUGCUCCAUAAUUCUGCUCUGCUGUUAUUCCAAGGCCUCUGUUCAUCCAAUGCCCCUUCAGUUCCUUCUCACAUGGAAACUUCUCAAGACCUUGGAUCUUCCCUGACAGUUCUUUCAAAGCAGAACGUGCCGUAUGCAACAUGUUGGGCCUUCUACUGAGUGACCCUGGGAAACUCCCGUUUGCCACAGAGCUUUGGUAUGAAUUGGAUGUUUCUAUUUGAUAAGGAAUACAAGGCAGCUAACCCAUUGGCAGACUUUGGAUUUUCUUUUCUAAUCUGUAAUAGUUGUUGGCUAAUGUAUUUCUACAGAGGCAGGCAACCCCACUGAGCCCCAAGUUCUAGCUUGCCUAGAGGUCUUAAAAUAAGAGUGGCGUUGGGGUCUCUUGCCUACAAAUUGCAGAAAAUGUGGUGGUUCUUCCUCAAGCAUUAUCAUUCGGGUUGGUCUAUGGUACCGAAUUUAGGGCGCUACCUUAGAAUUUUCCAUAUCAUAUUCAGACUUUAAAGCCUCUUGUCACAAGACUCACAACCAGCAAAGAAAUUAGGGUCAUGGGACUAGACGAUAACCAAUCUUUAUAAUCUAUAGGUAGAUUGAAGGGCAGAAAAUUCAUUUCUCUAUCAUAUGUAUGGAAAUUUAACUAUCAAGAUAAGUUGGUUUCUUUGCCAUUUGAUAAAUUGUGUAGUUUCAUCGCAUCUAAUUUGUGAUGUCCCACAUCGGAUAGGGGAGGAAGUUCCUGGCGCUAUAUAUGUAGAGGCUCUUCUUAACCAAGUAGACGCGUUUUAAAGCCGUGAGGGCCCUCCUUGGGCCCAAAGCGGACAAUAUCUACAUGGUUGGGUGCGGGUCGUUACAAAUGGUAUCAGAGCCGAUCCCCAACCCCGGUGUGGGGGUUUGUUUGGCUCCGUAAGGGGUGUUUGUCUGUUUGGCCCCACAAUCCCAUGGGACACAACGAGGACGUUGUGUCUGCAUGGGGGGGUGUUUGUGAUGUCCCACAUCGGAUAGGGGAGCAAGUUCCUGGCGCUAUAUAUGUAGAGACUCCUCUUAAUCAAGUAGACGUCUUUUAAAGCCGUGAGGGCCCCCUUGGGCCCAAAGCGGACAAUAUCUACAUGGUUGGGAGCGGGUCAUUACAUAAUUUGUACAUGAAAAGCAGUUCCAAAACUUUUUUCAAAGAAAAGACAUGAGGAAUGGGAAAAGAACUUCGAAGUUUUUAAGAAAAGUGAAUAAUUACAAUUAAAAGGGAUGAAAUAAUUCUCAAAUUUGUAAAUCUCAUUUCAUACCUAAUUUUUUAAAAACCUUCUUAAAAGUAUUUUGGGCAUUUACGAUCGAUAAAAUGGGCUCAUAUUCUCUAGAACAAUAUACAAACUUUCGUUACCACAUCCAACCAGAUAUGCAAAGUUUGUCCACUUAGAGAGGCUUAGAGCCAUUAUCAACCCCAUCUUUCCAUCAAAUAGAAUUGUCCCUAAAAGUAAGAAAGAAAGAACACUACUCUUUAUAAAAUCGUGUUAGAAUUUCUCUCCUUUUAAAACUAUGUAUGUAUAAAGGUUUUUCUCUAUGGGUUUUUUUCUUUGGAGAAUAUACAGAAAGAAGUUAUAGUAUUUCUCUCACAUUUCAAAACCAGGAAUGCAUGGAAAAGGGUUUUUUCUAUACGGGGCUUUCCAUGUUUGGAGAACGAGACAGAGAGAGGAGAGUCCAUAUGAAGUCUACUUGCUAGUUGCUGCCACGCAAAAGGGGAUAGCAAGCAUCUGGAUGGAAAGAACAGAAGUAAUUCAAGGUUCUCUAUAAGCUGAGAAAAAUCAAAGGAUUCUUUGGGGGCAUCAUCCUCCCAUCAUUGCUUUUACCCCAAAUUGGGACCUCCGUUCAUCCAGUGCUCCUUGUUCAGCUCGUUCUCAAAUGGAAACUGCUGCAAAACCUUGGAUCUUUCCUGACAGUUCUUCCAAAGCAGAAUGUGCAGUAUGCAACAUGUUGGGCCUUCUACUGAAUGACCCAGUAAAGUCCCAAUCGCCACAUAGCGUUGCUUUGGUAUGGAUUGGAUGUUUCUAUUUAAUGAGGAAUAUAAGGCAGCCAACCCAUAGGCAGACUUUGGAUUUUCUCUUCUAAUCUGUGAUAGUUGUUGGCUAAUGUAUUUCUACAGAAGCAGGCAACCCCAUUAAAGCCCAAGUUCUAGCUUGCCUAGAAGCCUUAAAAUAAGAGUGAUGUUGGGGUCUCUUGCUUACGGAUUAAUGAGGGGGUUCUUCCUCAAGCAUUAUCAUAAAUCUUGAAACUGUUGGGUCUUGGAACAUUUUUUUGCUUUGCUUGUUUGUUUCUUGUGUUCUUCUGAUGCAUGAUUCCAAAAAGGGAGUCAUUCCUUCCUUGGAUUCAAUGAUUUACUUGAAAUUUUAGAAUCAAAGAAUGCAUGGUUCUACC